AAUGAACGCUAGCGGCGUGUUUAAGACAUGCAAGUUGAACGGAGAGUUAAUAGUUUACUAUGAUCUCUUAGUGGCGGACGGGUGAGUAACACGUGAACUACCUACCUAUAAGUGAAGGACAGUCCUGGGAAACUGGGUUUAAUACUUCAUGUGCAUAUAUGUAAAGGGGGCUUCGGCUCUCGCUUAUAGAUGGGUUCGCGGUCUAUCAGCUAGUUGGUGAGGUAAAGGCUCACCAAGGCGACGACGGAUAGCUGGUCUUAGAGGAUGAUCAGUCACACUGGAACUGAGACACGGUCCAGACACCUACGGGUGGCAGCAGUCGAGAAUAAUUCACAAUGGACGGAAGUCUGAUGGUGCAACGCCGCGUGGAGGAUGACGGUUUUCGGAUUGUAAACUCCUGUCAUUGCAGAGUAAGACUUAACAGUUAAUACCUGGUUAAGUUUGAGAGUAUGCAAAGAGGAAGGGACGGCUAACUUCG
rnacentral:rRNA from 1 species